AUGUUGCGCUGCCAAACCAGUUGUGAGGCUGGGACGGAAAGCCACGGGUCUCCAACCGAUGAAAAGGAGAUAGCCGGGUUGCACAA
rnacentral:ncRNA from 1 species